rnacentral:lncRNA from 1 species
AUGAAUAUUAAUAAUCACAUUUUCUUACUCAGAGAUGUCCAGAUAUGGAAAGAGAAUGUCUUUACUUUGGUUUAAUCAGAUACGAGGACAAGUAGACUUGUGGAUACUGCCCACUUUUGUAAGUGAUCUGAACAGCAAGCUUUGAAGAGGUAAUAGACUGUCAUUUCCUCAAAAGGAUCUCUACAUACAGUGUGAAAAAAAUAAGAGAAGAAAUGGAAGCCUAGAGGCAAGGAAAUGACAGAAGAAACUGUAGUGUUAAUCCAGAUAAGACAUUGAAGAGCUAAACCAGGAUUUUGGUAAGACAGAUGGAGAGAUGUGGAUGGAUCUGAAUGCUACCAAGAAGGUCAAAUUCAACGGUGCUUACAGGCAUACCUUGGAAACAUUGCAGAUUUAGUUCUAGAACACCACAGUAAAGCAAAUAUUGCAAGAAAAUGAAUCACAUGAAUUUUGGGUUUCCCAGCACACAUAAAAGUUAUGUUUACACUGUACUAUAGUCUAAGUGUGUAAUAGCAUUAUGUAUUUUAAAAGUACAUGCCUUAAUUAAAAAAUAUUUUAUUGCU